GCCGUUCGGUCAAAAAGGGUCCUCCCGUCUCUCCUCCUUCCUUCUCCCAGGAGGGAAGAUAUCAGACUCCCUUUUUCUCCUUGCCGCUUCCAUGCCCUCACGGCAGGGCAGCAGCACAUACUGAAACCGAGAUAGAUAGAUAAUGGAGCGGGCAUAUUCAUACUGAGAAAAACAGACAGACAGAGAGAGCAUCUGAUUAACUUGCCGGAUCGACAUCUGAGUAUCUUGUUCUACGCGGAUUGGGUGGUACUGUGUGAUCCCCCGCUUUGGAGGCAACUUCCUCAGGAUGAACAGAACCAAAGAAGAUGGCAGAAUCUCCACCAACUGCAACACAGCAUAACAGGAACAACUAGACUUGCUCAACAGUACAUCAGAAGAAGAGAAUAACUAAAUGCUAAAAAGCAACAGUCAUGCAACCAUGGCUUCUCUGAGGAAACUAUAAAACUACCAACCUCUGAAAACGGAAAACCUACUGUGACUCUUUAAACAGGGAAUCGCUGCAACAUCAAGAAGAGUCUGCCAAAAUGAAACAAAGCAAAUAACUAUUUGCAAGGUUUUAUUUUUUUUAAUGUAAUCACAAGCAGCCAAUUUUUAGAUAAAAAGACACUAAUUCAUGAGCAACUUUAAGCAGUUCAGCCACUUCAACAAGGAGGUAACUUAUAGCAGACACACAAUAAAGGUACAUACUUUUGGAUACUUUACUCAAGAUCAUUCUUGCAGAUGCAUAAGAAUUUGCAUCAAUUAUAUUUUUUACGUGGUUUAGUCCACAGCCAAUGGCUCGAGGACCACUAUAAGCGCGAAAUUAAGAUUAAUUACAGGAUUGGUGGGAAGAUAAUAGGCUAAACCAAGUUCCCGAAGGCAUGUUCUGGGAAGUGAAGGCUCUGUAGACUCAGAAAGGGGCCUGUUAAGAAGGCCCAAAAGUCUUCCUGACCUUUUUUAUUUGGCUUGAGCGCAUACCGUUGACUACCCUCAAACGCCAAAAUAAAUGGACAAGAGGAGCCACAUUAUUGGUUAACAACCACCACAUCUCUACAAUAAAUAACCUGAAAUAAUCAAAGUUUAAGAUUGUUCAGAUUCUAAUUGGUAUAUGAGUUCUUAAAUUCUCAUUGACAAACUCAGCCGCAGAACCAUCUUCCAGCCAAUUCCUCCAACUAAAAGUGUUCGUUCUUAUUGAGACAUGUAACCGUUUCCUUCCUUGACGUUCACUAAUUUCUCUCUUUCCAUAGGGACUUAGUCUAAGGUCCAACCCCGAGCUAAUCCUUCUCUACUUUAUUCCUACUGCUCUUGGCAUUAUUAGUGUAUAAUGUUAAUCCUCCCUUCUUACAAGAAACCUGACUUAAUCCUAUAAAGUAAUAUAUGCCCCAUGCAAAUGCUAGCCUCGGCUGCUAAAGGCAUGCCCAUCCAUGUUUAGGGAAAAAUUCUCUUUUGGCAGCUAGCUUUGUUGCGCUAACAUUACUGCUUCCACAGCAAAAUCAACUUGGUUGUCCUAAUCUCUUUCCCAGCAUAUUGGCUGACUAGUUAAAUUGACUAACAUGCAAGAGGCCCCCCAUCAAUCGUGACGGGUGAUGGUUCAAUUAAGCAAAGUCUUCACUUAGUCGGGAAAGAGUUGUACUGACUAUGUUCAAUUGCGCAGACACGUGCAGAGAUCUCAAAAACCAAACUCUCCAGAGCAAAUUUAGAAAUUGCAAAUAGGAUGUCCUUGGAACUUUAUGGAAAACCUGUGUGAUUCGGCCACAAGACACUAUAAACUAUAGAACAACCAUGCAUAGGGUUUCCUGCCAUAGCGUCAUGCCGUCACCCUAGGAGACUUCAAGUCUAAGCAGAAUCUAUUUAUAGAUUCUGAGAACAAAAUAACUAAGUUGUUCAUCAAAACUUUAGCCAACUAAGUGCUCGCAGGAAAGGAGGGAGGGGGGGUGGAGAUGUGAAGAAGAGCACUGUAACAUAGGGUUACAUUGGCCAGCCAACCUUACUCGGAUUCAUGAAACAGACCAUGGAACCAAACUGGUUCAUAAAAACCUAUAUUUUUUUUUGCUGAAUAAAAACCUAUAUAUUUGACUUUAGGCGAAUUAGUAACUUUAUGUAGAGCAUUUUGAAUGCUCCAAUGAGGCAGCAACUUAAGUAUAUUCCUCAAAUCAUAUAAACAGCUUAUAAUAGCUCAAAGAAAAGCAUUUUUUUGGCAUUAAUUAAUUCUCUACAAACCCAUUCCUUAUUCUGAAGGUGUUGUAUUCCAACAGACACUGAACAAAUACACAUAAUCAACCAAGGAAAAAUUCGUUCAGUCUCACAUAAUCGACCGAGUAAAUAUUUUUUGACCACCAAGCAAAUAAAUAUUUGCACAACUAUCCAAUCAGACAAGCAUGAAUUUUUAGCAGGAAAUUGCAAUGCAGAGGCAAUCACCUUCCCCCAUAAAGAAGAAAUCCAAGGGCUGCAAAUAGAGAGACACCUGCCAGAAGAUAGAGAGACAGCAGAAUGUAUUGGUGUGACUGAGCAACUAGCUGACUAGCCAUUACAGAAAAAAUACAGGGUUAAAGGCCAGUUACCAGCAAAGAACAUUUUCGAGAGAACAAUCACUGCAUGAACAGGCUUCCACCACAAUAUCAGCCACAUGGCAAUCUGAACAAUAUGUUUCAAAAUUAUAUUAUGUUAGAGAUGCUGAUACCUCUAAAUGAAAGAAUAGUUUCACAGUUCAAAGCCACAAAAGUGAACAUAUAAUUGCACUGAAGACAACAUAUUACUCAAGUAAUAGCAAUCUUCAAGAUAAUAGAAGCAAUGACAAUCUGUUAUAUGAUAUUGGUAGAAAAAUGAGCAAAAAGAAGGGAAAAAGUAGCUACUAGCCUUUCCGAAGAGGACUUGGCUAUAUAUAUAAAGUUCUGCUUUAUCUUACCAGUGAGGAGUUAUCUAGAUGCUCGAGGUCUCUAAAUAAUAGGAAAAAUAAGUUAGCUACUCGAUAGCUACUUGUUUGCUCAAACUUGACUCAUCAAUGUUGGAGCUCAAUCUAUGUUUAGUAACUGAAUAGCUGUUCCAAAUUUCAAAUGUGAGCAACUAGCUAAAAUACCAGUUCCAAGAGGGUAAUUUCUAAAUGUGCAUUUGUACCCUUCCUUCCCCUGGGAAACCUUGCUGUUUUCUGAACUGUCUCACUUUGGCUGUCUCCAUUAUGCAAGUCUCAAAGAAAAUUUACCCUUUCUGACUUGCCAAAGAAAAGAAAAAACUAAUUUUAACUACCCAUAACCUCAUUAUACUAAAAGUGAGACGAACAAGCAACACAAUCCUACAAAUUUGUGAUAGUCCAGGCCUACAGUCAAAAGGAUUUUACAUUUUAGAAAUUAAUUAGUGUAGGCAAACGAUACGCUAUUCAUGGGUUUUCUUAAGCAUUCAUUUGAAAAUUUCAACCUAAAUAUUGGCUUUGUUCAUCCGAGAAUAAUUAUUUCCACGACAAGGAAAUUACAUGUAUAUUGACUUUUAGACUGGGCGAUAACUAUAUUCUUCAGACUAGUAUCAUAGCUUAACAGAAAAUUUCACAUUUGAGGGAAUCCAUCCAGAGGAUUGAAAGUUCAAGAAGAAAAACUUAAUAUUAUUUUACAUUCUUAUUUCUUAAAGUAGCUUGCAUUAACCACACACAUACAUUAGGUUGAUGUACUGAGUCAUCAAUGAUUAGGCUGGGCCAACACUUAGGGACGGCAAUGGUGUUUGUGAAAAACCAUAUCCGCGGAUAACCGCACCAUUUUUAGCACCGAUAACCGCACCAAAUGGUUAUGGUGCGGAUAUGGUUUUUAAUUUCAAAAACCGCCACGGUGAAGUGCAAAUAUGAUUUUGAUGAAAAAAUCGCGGAUAAAACCGCACCACAAUAUUUACAUUUUUAUACAUAUAGAUUGGACUAAUUUUUCAACAACUUGUCCAAAUCCAAUCCUAAUCCAACUUGAUUUCUUAAUUUAUCUGUUAAUAUUAGCUAAUAAAACUAUAAAGAUAUAAUACUAAUCUAAGGAUAAUUUUUAUAUAUAGGAUUUUAAUUAAUUUAUUUCUUUUAACUGUUAUGUUUUUCUAGAUUUUUAUUUAACUUAAUUUUGCGGUGCGGUGCGGUGCGGAUAACUGCAGUUUUUUGGUGGUGAGGAUAUGAUUUUCAAUUUUCAAAACUGCAACGGAUACGGUGCACAGUUUUAUAUCGCGGUUCGGUUGCGGUUCUCGUGGUAUCCGCAGCACAUCCACGCUGCUGCCAUCCCUACCAACACUGAUGCAGGAGCAUUCACCAAGUUUAUAAUUUUAGUAGAUUUUCAUUUACUAUGUCUUUGUCGUAUUAAUUAUAAUAAGGCUUGUCGUAUUAAUUAUAAUAAGGCUUUUAGAGGGUUAAAGUGAUCAUCAGGCUUGUGCUUUAAGGUUAGGAUAUUUAAGUGAUCAUGUGUUAGAUGAUCAGGGUUGGGGUUAUAUAUAUCUUAUAGCCCCCCGGUAUAUAUUGUCUUGCGAGCGAUCACUAUGGAAGUGUCAUUAACAUUUCCUAACCUAGAGAUUCCAAAUCCAGUUUUGUUUCUCUUGUUCCUA